UGCAGUCGAACGGUGAAGCUCAAGCUUGCUUGGGUGGAUCAGUGGCGAACGGGUGAGUAACACGUGAGCAACCUGCCCCGGACUCUGGAAUAAGCGCUGGAAACGGCGUCUAAUACUGGAUAUGACACCAAUCCGCAUGGGUAUGGUGUGGAAAGUUUUUCGGUCUGGGAUGGGCUCGCGGCCUAUCAGCUUGUUGGUGAGGUAAUGGCUCACCAAGGCGACGACGGGUAGCCGGCCUGAGAGGGCGACCGGCCACACUGGGACUGAGACAMRRCCCAGACUCCUACGGGAGGCAGCAGUGGGGAAUAUUGCACAAUGGGCGAAAGCCUGAUGCAGCGACGCCGCGUGAGGGAUGACGGCCUUCGGGUUGUAAACCUCUUUCAGCAGGGAAGAAGCGAAAGUGACGGUACCUGCAGAAGAAGCACCGGCUAACUACGUGCCAGCAGCCGCGGUAAUACGUAGGGUGCGAGCGUUGUCCGGAAUUAUUGGGCGUAAAGAGCUUGUAGGCGGUUUGUCGCGUCUGCUGUGAAAAUCCGGGGCUCAACCCCGGACUUGCAGUGGGUACGGGCAGACUAGAGUGUGGUAGGGGAGACUGGAAUUCCUGGUGUAGCGGUGAAAUGCGCAGAUAUCAGGAGGAACACCGAUGGCGAAGGCAGGUCUCUGGGCCACUACUGACGCUGAGAAGCGAAAGCAUGGGGAGCGAACAGGAUUAGAUACCCUGGUAGUCCAUGCCGUAAACGUUGGGCGCUAGGUGUGGGACUCAUUCCACGAGUUCCGKGCCGCAGCUAACGCAUUAAGCSCCCCGCCUGGGGAGUACGGCCGCAAGGCUWAAACUCAANGGAAUUGACGGGGGCCC
rnacentral:rRNA from 1 species